rnacentral:lncRNA from 12 species
GGUGAGAAAAAGGAACUUUAAGGGGUUUUGGAAGGGUGGGGAGGAUUUGGGGUGUCCCAGGUGUGUCUCAGGUAUAUUAUGGGAUGUCUCAGGUGUAUUAUGGGAUGUCCCAGGUGUAUUUGGGGUAUCCCAGGUGUGUCCCAGGUGUGUUAUGGGGUAUCCCAGGUGUGUCUCAGGUGUAUUUUGGGUUGCCCAGGUGUGUUAUGGGGUUGUUAUGGGGUAUCCCAGGUGCAUUAUGGGGUGUCUCAGGUGUGUCCCAGGUGUGUCCCAGGUGUAUUAUGGGAUGUCUCAGGUGUAUUAUGGGAUGUCCCAGGUGUAUUUGGGCUGUCCCAGGUGUGUCCCAGGUGUGUCCCAGGUGUGUCCCAGGUGUAUCUGGGGCUGGCCCAGGUGCGCCCAGGUGUAUUUUGAGUAUCCCAGGUGUUUUUGGGCUGUCCCAGGUGUGUCUGGGCUGUCCCAGGUGUGUCCCAGGUGUAUCUGGGGCUGGCCCAGGUGCGCCCAGGUGUGUUUGGGGUAUCUCAAGUGUGUUUGGGCUGUCCCAGGUGUGUUUGGGGUGUCCCAGGUGUGUCCCAGGUGUGUUUGGGGUGUCCCAGGUGUGUCCCAGGUGCAUUUUGAGUAUCCCAGGUGUGUCUGGGCUGUCCCAGGUGUGUCCCAGGUGUAUCUGGGGCUGGCCCAGGUGCGCCCAGGUGUGUUUGGGGUAUCUCAAGUGUGUUUGGGCUGUCCCAGGUGUGUUUGGGGUGUCCCAGGUGUGUCCCAGGUGUGUUUGGGGUGUCCCAGGUGUGUCCCAGGUGCAUUUUGAGUAUCCCAGGUGUGUCUGGGCUGUCCCAGGUGUGUCCCAGGUGUAUCUGGGGCUGGCCCAGGUGCGCCCAGGUGUGUUUGGGGUAUCUCAAGUGUGUUUGGGCUGUCCCAAUUAAUUAAAUACCCAUUCAUUAAAUACCCACUCACUAAAUGCCCAUUCAUAAAUAUCCAUUCACAAAGCCACGCCCAUUCAUUAACCACCCACUCAUUAAACACCCAUUCAUUUCAUUAAACACCCAUUCAUUCAUUAAACACCCACUCAUUAAACACCCAUUCAUUCAUUAAACACCCACUCAUUAAACACCCACUCAUUAAACGCCCAUUCAUUCAUUAACCACCCACUCAUUAAAUGCCCAUUCACAAAGCCACACCCCCUCCCGCCUGUCAAUCACAGAGCUCCACCCCCCGGGAUGGAAGCCCCACCCAUUAUGUAAAUGAGCCACACUCCCCUCAUUGAUGGCCACGCCCCCACCUGCCUCAGUUUCCCCCUCUCUGAGCCCAAACCACGCCCCAAAAACCUCCCCAAAGCCCUGCCCAGGUGUGCCCAGGUGUGCAAAGUGUGCCCAGAUGCGCCAGGUGUGCCCCAGGUGUACCCAGGUGUAUCCCAGCUGUAUCCCAGCUGUGCCCAGCUGUAUCCCAGGUGUGCCCAGGUGUGCUCAGGUGUACCCCGGUGUGCCCAGCUGUAUCCCAGCUGUGCCCAGCUGUAUCCCGGGUGUGCCCAGGUGUGCCAGCUGUGCCAGGUGUGCACUCACAGCACGUUCUGCAGCGAUUUGGGCCGGAUGAAGAUGGCGAUCGGGUGCAGCUGCGCCGCCUGGAGCCGCCGCACGGCGUUGGCCGACACGUCCAGGAUGCAGUGCUUGCCCUGAGGGGGGCACAGGUGACCCAGGUGAGACCAGGUGUGACCCAGGUGUGGCCAGGUGUGACCCAGGUGUGCCCAGGUGUGACCCAGGUGUGACCCAGGUAUGACCCGGGUCCCCCCAGGUGUAUCACAGGUCACCCCAGACACAUCCAGGAUGCAGUGCUUGUCCUACAGGUGUCACAGGUGAGAGCAGGUGUGACCCAGGUGUGACCCAGGUGUGCCCAGAUGUGCCCAGGUGUGACCCAGGUGUGACCCAGGUACCCCCGUUUACCCAAAGACAUGUCCAGGAUGUAGUGCUUGCCCUGCUCCCGUGCCCAGGUGUGCUCCAGGUGUAUCCCAGGUGUGCCCAGGUCUGACCAGGUAUGACCCAGGUGCCCUCAGGUGUGACCCAGGGGUGCCCAGGUGUGUCCCAGGUACCCCCAGGUGUGCCCAGGUGUGCUCUCACCUGCUCAGCCACCUCCCUGACAGACUGCACGCUGGUGCCGUACAGGUGGCUGUUGUACUGCCCUGUGCCCAGGUGUGCCCAGGUGUAUCCCAGGUGUACUCAGGUGAGACCCAGGUGUGCCCAGGUGUGCCCAGGUGUAUCCCAGGUGUGUGUUUACCUGCUCAGCCACCUCGCGCACGGACUGCACGCUGGUGCCGUACAGGUGGCUGUUGUACUGCCCCGCCUCGAUGAACUUGUGGCCCUGGAUGUCCUUCUCCAUCCGCUCCCGCGAGGCCACGAAGUGAUAAUCGCGGCCGUCCACCUCGUACUCGCGCUUGGGCCGCGUCGUGUCUGCGGGUGCGACAGGUGAGACACACCUGGGACAGGUGGGACGCACCUGGGACGGGUAAAAGCCCUGGAGUGGUGUGUCAUGGGUGAUAACUGGGGCUCAGGUGUGUCCCAGGUGUGUUCCUGAUGCCUCCCGCUGUGCCCAGGUGUGUCCCAGGUGUGUCUCAGGUGCCCCCAGGUGUGUCCCAGGUGUGUCUCAGGUGCCCCCAGGUGUGUCCCAGGUGUGUCCCAGGUGUGUCCCAGCUGUGCCCAGCUGUGCCCAGGUGCCCCCAGGUGCCCCCAGGUGUGUCCCAGGUGCCCCCAGGCGUGUCCCAGGUGUCCCAGGCACCCCCAGGUGCCCUCAGGUGCACUCAGGUGCC